rnacentral:sRNA from 1 species
GCCAGGCACAAUGGCACAUGCCUGUAAUCCCAGCGGCUUGGGAGGCUGAGGCAGGUGGAUUGCAAGUUCAAAGCCAGCCUUAGCAAAGGCCAGGCACUGAGCAACUCAGUGAGACCCUGUCUCUA